UUACACCAGAGGCCUGUACUACCAAUCAAGAUCAACAUGUUCUGGAUUUCUUCACUAACCCUAACCACCGCGGUCCAGCAUAAGCUGUGUCACGAUGGUGGUUAUCAACUAGUUCAAUCAAACCAGGGUUUCCCAGUCUAGAAGCACGCACAUUCUCAUAAAAGAGGCAGUGUUUGCACAGCGUGACCAAUCGCAAACUUCUACCAGAGCUGCAUACAUUACAUAAGAAGAGCAAAGUAUAAUUCUACAUAAAUAUGAAAACACAGACAGGGUUUUACAGGCAAAAUGUGAUACAGGAAGGACAUGUGGCAAAAAAAGCC